UCGGGAAUUUUGGGCAAUGGGGGAAACCCUGACCCAGCAACGCCGCGUGAAGGAUGAAGUAUUUCGGUAUGUAAACUUCGAAAGAAUAGGAAGAAUAAAUGACGGUACUAUUUAUAAGGUCCGGCUAACUACGUGCCAGCAGCCGCGGUAAUACGUAGGGACCAAGCGUUGUUCGGAUUUACUGGGCGUAAAGGGCGCGUAGGCGGCAAUUCAAGUCAUCUGUGAAAUCUCCGGGCUUAACUCGGAACGGUCAGAUGAUACUGCUUUGCUAGAGUGCAGAAGGGGCAAUCGGAAUUCUUGGUGUAGCGGUGAAAUGCGUAGAUAUCAAGAGGAACACCUGAGGUGAAGACGGGUUGCUGGGCUGACACUGACGCUGAGGCGCGAAAGCCAGGGGAGCAAACGGGAUUAGAUACCCAUGUAGUCCCUGAGCGGGCUGGCAAGGCGCAU
rnacentral:rRNA from 1 species